AAGAGAGUCAAGAUGUAAUGCCAUGGGGGUAGGAAGCCCGGAACCAUUCUCCGGACACCCAGAGAAGUCAGACAGCAUUAUAACUCAGAGAUUAUUAAAGUGAGGAAUUCUCAAGGGUGAGAGUGCUCAGUGGCUAAAGCAACAUGAUGCCAAGCUAAGAAUUUCAGGCAGUAUGGUAGUUUGGAUGAGAACGGUUCCCAUUGAUUCAAGUGUUGGAAUAUCUGACCCCUAGUUGGUGGAACUGCAAGGGAAGGAUUAAGAGGUGUGGCCUUGUUGGAAGAGGUGUGCCACUUGUGGAUGGGCUUUGAGAUUUUCAAAGAUUGCCACCAUUCUCAGUGUGAAUCUCUGCUUCCUACAUGCAGUUCAAGACGUUCAUUCCCCAUGGCUAACCCUCUGAAACUGUAAGACAAUUACAUGCUUUCUUUUUUUAAAUUGCUCUGGUGGCUAUUCUUGGUUGCCAACUUGACUAUAUCUGAGCGGCU